rnacentral:rRNA from 1 species
AUUGAACGCUGGCGGCAGGCCUAACACAUGCAAGUCGAACGAGUGGCGGACGGGUGAGUAAUGUCUGGGAAACUGCCUGAUGGAGGGGGAUAAAUACUGGAAACGGUAGCUAAUACCGCAUACCAUCAGAUGUGCCCAGAUGGGAUUAGCUUGUUGGUGGGGUAACGUCUCACCAAGGCGACGCUCCCUAGCUGGUCUGAGAGGAUGACCAGCCACACUGGAACUGAGACACGGUCCAUGAUCAUACGGGCGUCAGCAGUGGGGAAGAUUGCAAAAUGGGCGCAAGCCUGCUGCAGCCAUGCCGCGUGUAUGAAGAAGGCCUUCGGGUUGUAAAGUACUGUCAGCGGGGAGGCGUUACCCGCAGAAGAAGCACCGGCUAACUCCGUGCCAGCAGCCGCGGUAAUUC